GAAAAAAAACUGUGCAAAAAAAAACCCUACAAUCUAUCCCUCGUGCCCACAACAGAUCGUUCUCCGCCGCCCUCCCAUCGAUCUGCCGCCGAUCCCUGCGGAGCUUCCCUCCCCAAUCCGAUCUGACGGAGAGAGUGCCAGAUCCGGCCGGGGGAGCCGCCGUAGAGCCUCCACGUCGGUGGAGCAGCACCUCCUGCCACGGACGCCGCCGCCACCUCCUGCCUCACGACCCUUUGCCGCGACUCCGCCCCCAAGCGCCGCUCCCGCACGCAACCCUAACCCUAUCCCGCCAUGCCUCGCUGCCUCGCCGCUUGAGCCGCGCUGAUGGAGCCCGAGCAGCGGUGGCCGACCCCGUCACCGCCGCCGAGCCUGUGGACGAGGAGAAGGAGGAGGAGACGGAGGCGGCCGAGGACGAGGAGGACACGCUGCUGGACCGCGCGCAGCCUGAUCUCACGGGUCCCUUUGCACAUGUGCAGUUCGUCAAUGGACCAAUGCCUAAUCUCCCCAAGGUUGAUGUUUCACUGGACCCGGUGAAGGAGUUGAGCAGAGUAAUAUCUGAGCGAAAAAAUUGAGGGGCGUGCUUUGGUUGUGCUCUCAGGUUAUUUUACGAGGGUUGUGUGCACUGAACCCCAUUUCUCGGGACCAAAGUAUUCUUCUGGCCCUUUUCCAGCAACGGACAUGCGACAUAGCCAACUACACAUUUUUCCUAACAUUGAUGUUAACUAAUACAUGCAUCAGCUUUGUAUCAUAAAGAUUUCACCAUCCCAAGGUAAUGGAAAUAAGUUCACAAGAUUCGCAUGUUGAGGUCUGUACAAAGAGAUACAAGGCAAUGUCUGUGUGCUGGAAGGAGAAACUCACUGCCAAAGCUAUAAUCCCUGAUGCUAAAGCCUGCAUGUUCAAGUCUGCAGAGUUUACUCAUAUUACUGUAUGUUAGGUUCUUCACAGCUAGGAGCUCUUAAUCAAUUGUAGUUAUACUGAAAGAUUAAGAUGGAGGGAGUCAUUAAAAAUCAGCAAUCGUUCCAGCCAACCGGUAGUAGUGGGUACAGCAUUUGAAGACACCAAAAAGAGCCUUGGACUCUGAUGGAUAAUGAUUAAUACAGAGGGAGCCCUUUUGUCAGGUCAUUUAAUCAUUAAAUCAUACGUAAAAUUAUCUCAGGUAACUUACUACUACCUUUGUUCGAAAAUAAGUGCCGUUAACUUAGUACACCUUUGCACUAAAAUUGUACUAAAUCCGUGACACUUAUUUUGGGACAGAGGGAGUAUUUCAUUUUCUACCUGAACCAAGUUGUUAUUUCAUUUCUAAGAGGCAAAGAGUUCCUCCUGGUUAGUUUGCCACAUUUUAUAUGUCUGUCUAUGUGCAUUACUAAUUCACUAUAUGCACCUUUAGUUCCCAGUUUUGGCUCACUUUCUUGAUGCAUCUCGGAUGAGAGGAAAGGAAUGGAUAAUCUGACAAGCAAUGUUCGGGCAUACCCUUAUAUUUACGUCUGAUGAAAUGCUGCGGGUGCAAACUAAUCAAGACUGCUGCCAUGAGCAAAAGAGCAGACAUUACUUAUGAGAAAACAAUAAAAGAAUCUUCCAUGACUACAUACCACGACGAGUCAAAGACGAUGAAAGCACUACUCCAUUGGUGGUGUUAGCAAGUGGAGUCUGGAGGGAGAACAACACAAAGUAGGAAAUUGAUUCCCUCGCCCUCGCUUGCUUCAACGACCCCGCCCGUCUUGGUGGGGUCGAUUCCCCCAUCGCCCGACUCAUCUCAGACGAGAUCCAGUGGUAAUGUAAUUUUGGUCGGGCAGGGGUUUGUGAAGAAAACUAGCAAGGUUCAUAGAUGCACCCAGGUGGAAUACUUACUUUCCAAAUGUCAAGUAUUUUUAAAAAAUUAGACAUAUAAAUGUCUGAGUCCUUUGUGUGCUUGUCAAAUAUCAUGCAAAAAUGAUAAAGAGGACGAGGUUAUGAGGUAAUGUGCUCGGGCGGGAGGAAGAGGUACUGGUUCAAACCAUGAAAGUUCUUAGCUCAUAAUUGCUACCAAUUCUACAGAAAAGGUUGUGAUUUUGUUAACCUGACUAGAGCUUUCAUGUUAUGUCAGUCCUUUAUUUAGAUGAUUUAGCUGUUGACCUACCGUUCCUUUCUAUCAUCCAUGGGCUAAAAAAUGAAUUAUCAACAAGUAUGGUGAUAGCCAGCGUUACUGUGAUCUCCAAAGAACAAUAACUAUGCAACAUAGUGCUGAACUUUGACAUUUUCGUUUUGCUAUAAAUUUCCUUUUAAUAUUUCGUAAUUUGUUUAAUUAAUCUUUCUAUUAAUAUUUGGUUUCACUAUAGUAAAUUUAUUUGAAGGUCUCCAUGAUGGCAUAAUUCUAUGUAGACUGAUGUGUCGAUUAUUUUGGCAUGCAUUUAUUUGCCCAACAUUACCUAGAUACUUAGUGCCAUUACAAUGACAUCCCGUUUUAUUUCAGAAAGUGAUUGCUCCAUCACAUACACAUUAAAAGAAAUUGCACAACUGCACCAUGGCUAUCCAGUAUAUCAAGCAAGAUUAAUCUAAACAUACCUUACAGCAUCUCAUUACUCCCGUCGAAGUAAUCUAAACAUGUUCUUAAUGGCGACAAAUUUGAGCAGAAGAUAUUCUUAAUGGCAACAAGUAACUAAUUCUUUCGUUUCUAUGGAAUAUGUAAAUUCAUAUGCAGGUAAGCAGGUUAAUCUAAACAUGCCUUACAGUAUCCCAUUACUCUUGUUGAAAUUUUAUACUGUUAGAUUUCACCUUUGUUUGUAUUAAAUAUCUGAAGUAACGGAGCUUGAUUUUCAGUUUUGUUUUUUCACUCACUUCAUAGCCAACAUUACAGUGGUAUAUGUUGUAUGUAUUUCAGCACUACACUUUUCCCUCGGUCUAUAUAGUCACUGUUACUUGCCUAAAGACCGGGAAUUUUCGUUGUUCCGUUUCAACAACACGGUAUAAAUCCAAAUAGUUACUAUUACCUGAGGACAGCUUGUCUUCCCCAACAUGGGAUUUGUUGUUAACUCUACUCAUCUUCGAUGUUUAUACAUGAUUGGCAAGUGUCAGCAACUUCUCGUGUUCACUUUUGGUUAGCAAAGGUUUUGAUAUAACAGUCAGAUAUUUAUGUUUGCGAUUAGCUCAUAGGUGAGACUCUGGGUUCCCCUCCCCUCUGUCGAUCGCUCCAGCAGCGAGAGGGUCGGGGAGCCCCUGUUCUCUGCUUUGGUGUGUAUAUAGGGUGUGUGGAGAUUUCGUCUCCUGGCUUCGUCCCCAUGGCGGCUGGGCGUGCUUCAUCCCUCAUCAUGGAGCCUAGGAGUCAUGUUCAGGAGUUGGAGCGGCGCCAGAUCUCCCCAUGUCUCGUCCUUGGUGGUUCUUCAUCAUGUUGCAUCUCCGGUGUGCUGGUCCUACUGGACCGAGGUUGACGACUUCCUGGCCGCAAAGAACCUGUCUGCACUCUACAAGAUCAUGCUGGCAAAAUGUAGAGCGGCGCCUGAUCUCCCCAUGCCUCAUCCUUGGUGCUUCUUUGUCAUGUUGCACCUCCGGUGUGAUGGUCCUACUGGACAGAGGUUAACGACUUCCUGGUCGCGAAGCAUCCGUCCGCACUCUACAAGGUCACGUCGGCUCCAUGUUGGAGCGGGAGCGCGCCUUGAGCCCGCAUCUGAGUUUGUUGUAUCUGAGUUUGUGGUGGGUCGAAGCCCCAAGGACCCGAUUGUGAUUUGUGUUUUCUCUAGGGUGCUUAUACCACUGGUGUUCUUUAAUAUAUGACCUGGGUCUUCUCCACAAGAAAGGGUGAUAUCUAUCAUUUGUAAUGCAUUGCACACUACAGAGUUAUGUGUUUGUGCUACUUUCUUUAUUUUGUGCAUCAGAUAUGGAAGUAUACAUCGUUGGAUUUCAUUUUUAUUUUGAAAACCCAUUGCAAGUGAAGUGGAUUUCAAUUAUUUCUUGUAUAUUAUUGGCUACUUUUUUAUACAUGUGAAAUAUGACAUGCCUUAUGCUUAUAUAUCCAAUUAUCCACUAUGUAUUGCAGAUAGCAAUAUUGAAUGGCUUUAGUAACAUUUCCCUUUUCAAGGCAUAAUGUCUGUCCUGGUACUUGCACCGGACAUAAACUAUUGUAAAUAUAGUAAAGUCUUAUAAUUCUAUUGUGGGAUUUCACUCUUUGGUGUGUGACAGGCUAGCGGUUGUGCUUGCUGUCUCCAGUGUUUAGGUGGAAACUACAUAAUCAUAUUUGGUAACUUUGGGGAGAAGUUGGGAUUUUUGUUGGUAUGCAGGUCAGAUACAACACUAACCAAUGUGCAUGUAUUGCUCAAAUAUUUCACUGGGCCUAUUACAUUACUGUACUUAGUAUAAAACAUGCUCUGGCACUGAUCGUACAACUUUGCAUGAAUACUCCAGUAGGUCGACCCCUCUAAUUUAUGCCAUGAAUGUAAAUAAGCUAUACUAUUAAACUGCCUGGCCUUAGUCUUUUAUGCAUUAAUUAUUAACUAGGAAUGAGAUGUUAUGAGGUACCGGACAUAAACAAUUGUAAAUAUAGUAAAAUCUUUUUUUCUCUAUUGAGGGAUUUCACUCAUUGUUGUGUGACAGACUGAGAGUUGUGCUUGCUAUCUCCAGUGUUCAGGUGGAAACUACAGAAUCAUAUUUGCUAACUGUGGGAAAGCUGGGAUUUUUGUUGGUAUGCAUGUCAGAUACAAGACUAACCAAUGUGCAUGUAUUGCUCAAAUAUUUCAGUGGUCCUAUUACAUUACUGUAUUUAGUAAAAACAUGCUCUGGCUCUUUGCACUAAUACUCCGGUAGGUCGGCCCUUCUAAUUUAUUCCUGAAUGUAAAUAAAUUCUAUUAAAUUGUCUGGCCUUAUUUUUUGUGCAUUAAUUAAUAACUUUUUAUUUUUCGAGACAAAUGUGGCCCUGCUUGAUCUUAGGUUAAUAAUUUUAUAUUGCUGGCAGAUUAAUUCAUAUAGCUCUUUAACUUUUGGAAGAGAUAACUCAGAUGACUUAUGAGAAGAUGCUCUGAUAGAUGUGCAAUGUACCAAAAAAGAGUUCUUUUGGCAACAUAAUUUCAUGUAAUUUGUGCGGAGCUACCUUGAAAGAGCAAUAAAACUCUAGACGGAGCAAGGACCACCACAUGGUGAACACUUGCACCUGUGCAUGAAGAGCGCCAGCCGUUGAAUGGCGUGGCACAUCAAGUCAGGGAAA